GGCGGUGUAGCUCAGGGGUAGAGCAGUGGUUUCAUAAGCCGCGAGUCGGUGGUUCGAACCCACCCACCGCCACCA
rnacentral:tRNA from 1 species